rnacentral:lncRNA from 1 species
AAGUCCUUAAUUACAUGGGUUUAGUUGAAUAUGUGUUCAUCUAAUUUAUUCUUCUCUAUAUCUGAAACAGGUCCAGAGAGACUAAUUCAUUUAUAUCACAACCUUCACCAAUUCAUUGAUAAUGGAACUUCCAUGUAGGACUUCAAUGUCUUUGAAAAAAAAAAAGUAUUUAUGAUGUGUAACGAAACAUGGGAAUUAAAGUAUUAUUGGUUAAUAAUUUUAUUUAUAGUUAAACCUAUUGUAGUUAAUUGAUAUCUUUCAAUUAUA